CUGAGGAUAUUUUGACAACUAAAGCUCAAUAUAAGGAACUUAUUAGUUUGUGCAUUUGUACAGAUUUAUUGAGGCAUUUAUGGUAAAUCACAAUAAAAUGCUCCGCUGGGCGCAGCUUGAUACGACCGCAGAGGUCGAACCCUGAACAGUUGGGGCAAGUAUGGACACAACAUUCAAGCUUGAUACAGCACUGAAUUUGGAUUGUUAUUAAAUAUUUGACACAGUAUAGGUUUCUGACACAGAAUGAAUGUGGUCAAAGAACUUAAAAAAUUUUAAUUUACCUAUUCAAACCAUAUCAUUAUUAUUUGCUUUUAUAUAUAAAUCAGAAAUAACCAAUUUCAAAUGGAAAA